rnacentral:rRNA from 1 species
UACGGGGGGGGUAAGCGUUGUUCGGAAUUACUGGGCGUAAAGGGCUCGUAGGCGGCCAACUAAGUCAGACGUGAAAUCCCUCAGCUUAACUGGGGAACUGCGUCUGAUACUGGAUGGCUUGGAUUCGGGAGAGGAAUGCGGAAUUCCAGGUGUAGCGGUGAAAUGCGUAGAUAUCGGGAGGAACACCAGUGGCGAAGGCGACUACCUGGCCUGUUCUUGACGCUGAGGCGCGAAAGCUAGGGGAGCAAACGGGG